GACACGGGCGGUUUCGCUGGCAGCGGGUAUAUUUAGCACUUCCCCGAGCCCUUCGUGUGCUCCUGCCGCCGUGCGAGCGCUCGGUAAUUAAUUGACGCGGCUCUCGGCGGUGGUCCCGGGGUUAAUGGUGGCCCCCCGGGGUUAAUGGUGGCCCCCCGGGGCUUGUGGUGGCUCCCCGGGGUCGUGGUGGUCCCGCGGCCCCACAGGUUUUCCUGACUGUUCUGUGGCCCUGUCGCUGCAGCCGCCAUGGAUCCGAAUGCUGUGGCUGCAAAGGCUUCUUACUUUCUCAUACUGGAUCCCUCAAAUCCAAGAGCUGCUUGGCAGUUUCCAAGGCAACCACCUGUGGAAUAAUUAAAAAGGAUGAAGCGUUAGUGUGCCAAAGAUACGGAAUUCUUGCCUGGAGAGAGCACUUCAUUUUCAUCUGUUGUGAAGAAUCAAAUGUGUCUCUGCCAGCAAAGUUAAGAAGAAGAAAUGGUGACCGAGCUGUGCAAGUGAACCAGGACAAUCCAAAAAAUUCAGAAGGCGUCUGUGAGCGGCCGGGCAGGACUAGCACAGGAGAGGUGCUUCUGGUACCUGCUGCCUCUCGCCUGGGGCUUGUGCCAGCAAGGAGCCGAGGUGCCGACUUCACAUCACACCUGGGCUCGAUUUCGGAUGCUUCUCCUGGCAACGCAGGGGAUACGCAUUAUCUUCAUCUUACCUGGAAACCUAAGAGGAAUUUUAUGGCCCUUGAAAGCGGGAUGAGUGCUGUUUGUCUCGUGGUUUUACAGCCUGGUGUAAACAGAGCACUGCUCCGGCCUGGAAAUGCAGGUGCUGAUCUCCUGAGAAUGCUUUCCGUAUGCCAAAGGAAGAACACGAUGUUGGAGGGAAAGCCUAUUUAUAAAUGUGUACCGACUGAAAGGUCACUUUUCAUCCUCAGACAGACAAAUUAGCGUGAUAAUUUAUGUACAGUGUGAACGAAGCACUGAAGAUAAGCAGAGGGGCAAAAAAUGUACGAAUGCCCGGUUUGAAGAGCUGACUGUGUAGAGACGUGAGUGGAUGCAAUACAACGCACGGCGCAGGAACACAAACAGUAGGUGUAGUUUCUGAGGGCUUCAUGACGGGGGCAUUUCUGUUCAGCGCUGGGAUUAGCACUUCUAUUGAAACUUAUAUAACAGAGCCUUUGCCGGGGUGGCUUCUAAAAAUGAUGUUCGUUGCUCUUCAGAUUCCAGAGGCUUUAAGUCAGAGGAAAUACUUUAAACUGAAGAACUGGUUUGUUUUUUUUUCCAUUGAUCAUUGGUUUCCUCCCAGUUCCCAAUUAGAUCCUACUGCAUGUGUAAGACAGCAGUGGAAGGAAAAAAAAAAAAGGGGGGUUUUAUAAUGAAAAGGCUUGGGCAAGAAGCACUGAGUUUCGUUGUGAGUAGUUCCUUUGUUAACGUACCUUUGUUCUAAGCAUACCUUAGAAAAAACAGGGAAUUAGGUUGAUCAUGGUGCAGUUGUACGUUUCUAAAGUUAGAACAUUCUAAAGUAUAAUAUCUGCCACUUUUGUCCAGCAAAUGAUGAUGCCUUCCAGAAAAAACCUACACUCCUUUCUCUGUUGCCCUGAAGAUUGCUGUUUGACAGAAGAGCAGUCAGCUGCUAUGGUGAUGGGCACGGGAUGGGAACGUGGACAGAAAUAGUGGUGAGGCUGAAGCUGGGCUGUUCAUCCUUCCUUACUGUUUCAGCAGCUCUUGCUGAAUUUUGUACGAUUGAAUUCAAGGCGUUAGCAGGCUAUCUUACUUUUUUUGGCCUCAAAUUCUAGCAAAUACUACAAAAUAAUAGGCAAAAAGAAGAGUGAGACACUCAAGCUGAUAAUAUUUGUAUAAACCUGCAUCCCCUUCCCUGCAGUGCAGCUUCUGCCUGUUGUGCUUGAAUUUAGGCACACAGAAAUCUUCCUCCACCUGUAAGAAUUAGUGUGUUUUUUUCAGUAAUUUUCAGUAAUGAAUAAUUCAUAUACUAAAGUCUUUGUCACAAGAACAUCUCACUGUUUCUCCCCCAGCUUGAUAAGCUUGCUUUUGUAUUUUUAGGAUUUCUGUUUCCCUAAUCAGCCCAAAAAUAAACCUGAAGAGGUUUCAAAAAACA
rnacentral:lncRNA from 1 species